UCUUUCCAACGCCGCCCAUUCC
rnacentral:miRNA from 1 species